GCAGACAAAUUCCAGCCAAUCAGCAGCAGACCCUCCCUCCCAGACCCUCCCACCUCCUGGACAGCUCACUAAGAAUGCAGCUUCAAAAUGGAUGCUGUCCAGGAGGUGGGAGGGUCUCGGAGGGAGGGUCUGCUGCUGAUUGGCUGGAAUGUGUCUG